rnacentral:lncRNA from 1 species
UGGUGUGGCUCCAAAAAGAUCUUCGUGUUGUUCGAAAGAAAAUUUUCAGGCUUGGUCAUUCGGAGAAUGUGAAUAUAGAUCGAGAAAAAGUCAGCCAAUAAUCACAAGAUCCCAAAGUCUGGUCAAACAAGGACUAGUCGACGCCACGUCUCCAAAUAAUACAGUUCGAUGUAUGUUUGACAUGGGUUACAUGACUGGCUUUUGGACAU